rnacentral:rRNA from 1 species
UAUAAUUUAAGUAAAAAAAAAAACAUUCUUUAAAAAUUAUAAUUAAUAUAAAAGUAUCGAUGACAAUAUUGUUUUAACAUCAUAGUAUUUUAAAGGGGUUAUUAAGGAUAACUAUCAAAUUUAUAAAAAAGGAGGUACUCUACCAAAAGCUUUCUAAAAUAUUUAUAUUUAUAUUUAUAUUUAUAUAUGUAUUUAUAUUAUAUUUAUAUUUAUAUUUAUAUUUAUAUUUUUUUAAGGAAAGCGAUCCUAAGGUAAACCUUUAGUAUAAUUUACUUCCUGAAGUAAAACAUUUUAUUAAGGAAAGGAAAGGAAAUCAACCGAGACUCCGAAAGUAAUGGCGAGUGAAAUCGGAUUAGCCUAAAUUACUUUAUAAAUUGAACCGUUAAAUUAAACAAAAUAUUAUUUCUAAGUAAUUUGAUUACUGCUUAAAUAUAAAAUAAAUAUUAGUUUAAUUAGCAACAAUCUAAAUUAAACUCAAAUAAAAAAUAGAUUGUUCUAAAAUAGGUUAAAAUCCAAGUCCUGUAGAUUUAUAAAGUAAUUAUUAAAACUAAUAUUUAAUAUUAGAUAAAUAAUUUUGUUAUUCUUUAGCAUUGUUGUUUAUCCUCUGUCUAACUUCUCUUUCCUCCAUGUCUCCCUCUUCCUUAAUCCUCCUAGCCUUAGGUUAGGAUUAAAUAAGGAAGUCUCUAACUAAGCGAGCCUUACGGCUUGGGUGAAACUAUAGAAGAAAAAGAAGCAGGUGGUAUUAUUUGUUACAAUAAAAAAAAGUACGAUGAGAGAAAACUUGUCGGAAUAUAGGGGAACCAUCCUCUAAGGCUAAGUAUUAUAAAUUUAGUGAUAGCGAAAAGUACUGUAAAGGAAAUGUUUGAAAUAAAAAUAAUUGUAGUAAACAAUACUUUAAAUUUUAAUUUGAAAUAUAUUUUAUUUAUUUUAAAAUUUAAAUAUGAAAUAAUUGAAUUAGUAACUCUAUAAGCAGUCGAAAUUCUACUUUUAAAAGAUUAAUGAAUGACGGCGUACCUUUUGCAUAAUGGGUCAGCAAGUUAAUAAGAGUAGCAAGGUUUAAAGCCCUAGCGAAAGCGACUGGACUAUUUAUUAAAUAGUGAUGGAUAAGUUACUUUUAUUAGACCCGAAGCCAGGUGAUCUUACCAAGACCAGUUUAUAAUUGAGCGUACGGGUGAAUGUUGCAUUAUUCUCCGAAGAGUUUUGGUAAGCGGCGAAAUACCAAUCUGACCUGGUGCUAUCUGGUUUUCUACCGAAACAUAUUUAAGUAUGACAUCUACAUUUAUAGAUUUAUGGAGGUACAGAAAGGCAACUCCCAACAAGAAAUAGUUUUAUGUUGUGCCCUAUUUCUUAAAAAAUAGACAGCAUCCUUAGUCGAGCAUCGAGCAUCCUUAUCUCCAACCUUUCGUCACUUCACCUUUCGUAUAUAAGUACGUAGUACAGAGUACGGAGCCCUUAAAAGGGAGUGGUGGUUGUUGUAUGUAGAGGGAGGAGGAAAUGGAAGCAAACAUGCGUAGCCGUAGGCAGGCGGGAAAAUUUUUAAUUUAAUUUUAAUCGAUUAAAUAAGUUUUUACAUAAUACUAUUUGGAGUUCAGGUUGCGGGGACGUAGAAAUCUUACCUUUGGAGGCGAAUCUCGGAAUUACAUAAAUUGAUAGUAGAUAUUCAGACUAUUCAUGCUAAGUUGAAUAGUCAAGACGGAAACAGCCGAGAACACAGAUCAAGGUCCCAAAUGAUUGUUAAGUGAAAUUAAGGAUGUAGCAUAAUCGUAUACAGCUGUUAAGUGAGCCUGGCAGUCGCUACUUAUAAUGAUCGUAUGUAACAACGCAUCAGCAGUAAGACUGUAGCACCGAAAAUUUAACGGGUCUUAAACAAUCAACCGAUAUCGUGUUGGUAUUAAAUAAAAUAUUGUACUCUCCCGAUACCUGCCAUACGACAAUGACACCGUGUUAUUCUAUUCUAUUGAUUAGGUUAACUCUAUGUAGUUGAGUAUGGAUUACGGAGUACGGAUUCUUGAGUACAGCACCAUUCUACGGUUAUGUUACCCCUUCGGAGCGUAGACGUAGCCAUGAUGCUUAUUUUUAUUUUAUUUUUUAUCUAGGUAGUAGAACAUUCAGUCAAUCUAUUGAGAAAAUAGUGUUUCAUUAUUUUUUAGGGAACUGAAGAGAGAAUGCUGACAUGAGUAACGUAAAAGAAGUUAAUAAUACUUCUCGCCGAAAACGAAAGGGUUGCACAACUAGAUUAAAUCUUUGCCACUGUGUUAAUGCGGCCUCUAAGGACCCUAACCAAAGUUAUGGCUGAUGAGUAAAUAGUAGAAAGUCCUAAAAUAGUUUUAAUAAAAUAAAAUUAAUGGACCAGGAAAUUAAUAUUAUUAUCUUAACUUUUUAAUAGAAUAUAUUGUAUUUUUAUUAAUAGAAGAGAUUAUUACUACCGUACCCUAAACCGACACAGGUUCGUAGGUAGGGAAUACUAAGGCGCAGAGCUAAAAGUUGUUAAGGAACUCGGCAAGAUUACCUCAUAAGUUAGACGACAAGAGGUACCACUUAUAUAUUUUAUUUUUAAUCUAUAUAAGGAGGUGGCACAAAAUCGGAGGCCCCGACUGUUUACUAAAAACACAACAGUCUGCAAUGAUGAAUAUCAUAGUAUAGAUUGUGAAAUUUGCCCGAUGCCAUUAAUAUAAGAGCGGUCAUUGAAAAAUGUGACUAAUCGAAAGUCUGGUUAAUAGCGGUCUAGAUUAAGGCCCAGUUUAAACUAAAUAAACUAAAACUUAUCUUUUUAACCUAAACCCCUAAUGGUCCAGCGUGCCGUAGGAUAGAGUUACAAAAGAUAAACACUAGCAUUUAUACUAAACUAAUCACUAUUUGUACUAGGAGUCUUUAAACCUUAUUACUAAAUUUAUUUAAAUUAUAGUUAAAAUAUAAGUUAAUAAUAAAGAUAAUUAGCAGGUAAAAAUAUAUAAUAUAUAACCUCAACGACUACACGUGAUAUAAAAAUACAUAGUCUGUUACUUAAAUAAGUACAAAAAAAUUCUAUUCUUUUUUUUUUCUAAUAUUAUUUAUUUAAUAUUAAACCUCAAUUUUUCAUAAAUAAAAAAUGUAGUGAUUUUUAAGAUCAUUAUUAUUUUUUGACUUAAUUUAUUAAGUAGAGAAAGUCUAUUUUUUACUAUUAAUGUAGGUAGGCCACAACAAAAAACUACAAAAACAAUGUUUUUAACAAACCAAAAGCGAAAAUCUAAAGGCAAAAUGAUUAAUUUAAAUAAUCUAUCUAUAAAUAUAAUAAUAUUAACAAGAAAUUUAUCUAGAGGUUUACCUAAACUAACUAAUAGUCCAAUUCUAACCUACAAUAACGCUGAAGAACUAAAAAGUUUAAUUUUUAAAGAAAAUCUAAAUAAAUCUUUUGUUUAUAGAUGGACUAAUAAAGUUAAUGGGAAAACCUAUUUAGGUAGCACAUCUAAUGCUAAAAGCAGAUUACAAACAUAUUAUGAUAAUUACACUUUAAAUUUAAUAAAUAUGCCGAUAUAUAAAGCUAUUUUAAAAUACGGACAUUCAAAUUUUAUAUUAGAUAUAAUCGAGUAUUGUGAUUCAGCUGAAACAAUUCAAAAAGAACAAUAUUAUUUAGAUCGUUUUGAUUUUGAUUAUAACAUUUUAGAAAAAGCUAAUUCCUCUUUGGGCUAUAAACAUAAUAGUCAAACAAUUAAAAAAAUGAAAGGUCGUCAAAAUUUUUUAGGUUAUAAACAUACUGAGGAAACAAAAGACAAAUUGAGAGAGCUUCAAACUAAUAAAAAAUACUCUGUUGAAGAUUUAGAAAAAAUGAGAGAAAUUUGAGCUAAAAGAAAAUUUAAUUCUUUAAAUACAAAUCUUCAAGACCUAAAUACUAAAACUAUAAUUGAGACAGAGUCUGAAGGUUAUGUCUACGACUUCGUAGAUACUGAUCAAAAGCUAAAGCUACAGAAAAAUAGAAAAAAAAUUAAAGGAAAAAUAGUUGUAGUAACUAAUAUUAAGUCUAAUGUGUCCACUGAAUAUAUUUCUAUAAGUGAGGCCGCUUCAUAUCUUAAUAUUACUAGAACAACUCUACGUACUUACAUGAAAAAUAAAACAGUACUUAAUAUAUUAAAACAAAAUCCUUCUGGAUAUGGUAUUAUGAAAGAACAAUUUAUAAUAAAUGUUAAAGGAAAAUAAUUAUAAUUAAGAUACACUUUAUUUUUUUAAGUAAAGCUUAACCAUGAGGAUCAAAAACCCUUAGGGUUCUCAUUAAACUCGAUAAUUUGCUGGAAUGCCCUAAAGCUUUAAGUACUCAUUUUUCUAAAUUAGCAGUUAUAAUCUUAAAGAUACUAAUGGGUGAUCAGCAGGAAAUUUUAAAAAUAAAAAAGACUUAAAAUAAUAUAAAAGGAAUGACAAAAAUUAAUAAUAACAACAAUAUAAUAAACAGGGACGUUCAAGAUCAAUCAUAUCUUUUUUUUUUAGGUGGCUUUGUAGAAGGAGAAGGUUCUAAUUCUGUAUCUAUUUCUAUAAAUAGAAAUUUCAAGUUUGGUGUAAAUAUUCAGCCUGUUUUUAAUGUAAGCCAACAUAAAAAUGGAUUAGAUAUUCUAUACUCAUUUAAAGAACUUUUUAAAUCAGGAUCUGUAGUUGAAAAAUCAGGAUCUCCUGAUAUCUUUGUUUAUACUUUAAAAGGCUAUAAACAGAUAAUUCAGCAUGUUUUACCUUUUCUAGAAACUUAUGUUCAACCAUUUUCUUGUAAAAAAGAAGAAUUUUCUAUAUUUAAGCAAAUUGUUUUGGAUUCUUCGGAAGGAAAACAAAAAGAUAGGGAAAAUUUAAUAGAAAUGAUUAAACUUUGCUAUAGAUUACAAGGAAAAGGCAAAAAUCGAAAAAGAAAAUUAUCUGAAGUACUUGAAAUAGUAGAGAAUAAAACUAUUUAUUUUGAUAAUUUGAUAAUUAAUAAAGAAAUACAAUUAAGAGAUUUAGAGACUGAAGAUUCUGAAUAAUAAUAUAAAUUCAGUUUACCUACUUUCAGUAGUAAUAAUCGCUAUUCCUUCUAGCUAAGGCUUGAGAAGCUGGAGCUUUCUCAUUUUUAAAUACCUCAGAGACUAAAAAUAUUGAGCAGUUAAUUUAACAAGAUUAAUUGAUGAUAUAGUCCAAACUACUUAGAAAUAAGUAGACAAAAAUGCCUAAGGUAGCAAAAUCAGUUGGCCAUUAAAUGUGGUCCGGUAUCAAUAAUGUAACGAUGGUCUCACUGUCUCUACAACUUGCUCAGUGAAAUUGAAUUACCCGUGAAGAUGCGGGUUAUCUUCAGAGGGACGGGAAACUUAAAUUAAAUAACUGAAGAUAUAAAAUAAAUUGCGACUAGAAUAAAUUUAUAUUAACAAUGUGGAGAAUAACCACCUAAUAACCCAUUAUUUGAGCUCAAACAGCAUGCGUUAGAAGUAAUUUUAAAGCAUGAAGCCUGUUUAAAUGGAGCUAGAUUUCUAAGGACAAUGUAAUGUGAAUUCAUGUAAGCAAUUAUUGUUUGUAGAAAAACUUCCCGUGUUUUUCUUUAUGGGUCUUAAUACAAUAUUUUGUAUAGUGAAGUCCUAAGGAAAUCAUUAAAGUGUUAAUAUAAAAACUAGGUAAGCCCAAUAGUGACCAAUUAAAUUUUUUAUUUUGAUUGGAGGUUUCUUCUGUGAAGAGAAAAUAACCAUUAGUGGGUAGAGGAAAUUCAAAAAAGCGAAAGCCUUAUUGUAAUGAUAAGGAUAGGUUAAUUAUUAACUAAUCUGAAAGGAUGCUGACUUUGAAUUAGUGUUAAGUACUUAUUAUUGUUAGCUUAAUAAAAUUAUAAAAUUUAGUUUUAAGGUGUAAGCCUUGCCUUAUGAAAGUAGGAUAUAUUUAAUAGUCAUAGAUUGUUGAAGAAAUUAAAGAAGAAAAAUAACACCGAUACGAAACAUCGCUACUAAUUAAUACAAGCUAUAGUGUAGCUUCCUACUUAACUUAAUAAACUUUAUCCAAUUUUAUUUAGCUUAAACUAACCUAAAAAUCAAUGAAAACAAAAACAAUAAUAAAUAAAAAUAUAACCAACAAUAGCAAUAGAUAUAGAUUCCUAGGCUUCGCAGGCGUAGCUUAUCUAAAUAAUAUAGAUUUUACUGUUCCUAGAAGAUUUGAAAAAUUAAAACCUUGGCAGGUUACAGGUUUAACUGAUGGGGAGGGUUCAUUUAUUUGUACUAUCUCAGACACUGGUAAAGGAGUAACUGGAAAAGUUGUAAAUUUAGAAUUUAAGGUAACACAAAAAUCCCAUUCAAUGGGUAUAUUAUAUGAGCUUCAAGAGUUUUUUAAUUGUGGUAGCGUAGUGAUAGAUAAUAGAGAAACAGAUACGAAAAAAUAUCGUAUAAAAAGUUUAGAGUCUAUCUUAGAAAAAAUAAUUCCACAUUUUGAAUCUUAUCCUUGUUUAACAUCUAAAUAUUUAAAUUAUAGAGAUUGAAAAAAAAUAGCUUUAAUUAUGAAAAACAAGGAACAUCUUACUAUUGAAGGAAUUAAUAAAAUAAUAGAAAUAUCAUCAAAAAUGAAUAAAGCACGAUCUUUUGAAGAUAAAUAUAAUUAUUGUAAAACUUCUUUAGGUAUGACUACAGCUCCUUCUAUUUCCUCACUUGAUAAAAUUAAAGUGCAGCAAAACUCUGAAGGUGAAGGCAGUACGGUAGAAAUAAAAUACAAUUUACCUUGUCAUUGGGUUCAAACUUAUUUAACAGGUGAAUCUAUGUUUUAUACUUAUUUAGGGGAAAAGAAAAGUAGAGGUAUAGUUUAUCAAGGCUGUGACUCUUCUUUGGAAUUAGGUCAAAAUAGUCAUGAUGUAGCCAUUUUAUUGAGUCUUAAAAAAUUCUUUAAUGGUGGUUAUAUCAAACCUAAAUAUAAUUAUGAUAAUUUAUAUGAAUGUUUAAAUUCACGUUCACUUAAUAGGUAUAUCCUUAGAAAUACUGAAACUAUAAUUAAAUUCGUAGAUAAAUAUCCUAUGUUAACUAGAAAACAUUUAGAUUAUUUAGAUUGAAAAAAAAUUGUAGAAUUAAAAAGUAGGGGAGCCCAUAAAACAGAAGAAGGAUUAGCUUUGAUUAAAGAAAUCAUUUCUAAAGUAAACUCUGGACGUUAAUCUUAAUAUCUAAAAGCUAAAACAAAACAAAACAAUAUAUUUUUAAACUUAAUGCUUGAGCUGUAUGCGAUGAAAGUCGCACGUACAGUUCUAAGAGGAUGUUAUGGUAGUAAUACGUAACGUAGCCUCAACAGACCCUAUGCAGCUUCUACUGUAGUUAGUUAUCAUGUAAAUCUAGAACAGCCUUCUCUAAUAGUAAAUAGGGAUGUCGAUAGACGAAUUUUGGAAACCUUAUAGUUUAGGCUGGGUUUAUGUUUACCUUAUUUGUAUUCAAUUCGAACAAAAAGGGAGAGUUGACUAAUUGGCAGUUUGACUGGGGCGGUCGUCUUUAAUAGAGUAGCAAAGUACAUCCAAAUUUUUCAAAAACCAAAUUUAAUAAAUAGAAUAGUUUCAUUAUUAAAUAAACUAAAAAAAAAACAAGACUUUUAUAAUUAUAAUUAUAAUUAAAAAGGAGCACAAAUCCUUACUUAAACUUAAGGAUCUAAAAUACAAAGUAUUAAAUUUCACAAAUAAUCUUUCUCCCUUUUUUAAAUAUAAGAUAUUUAAUUAAAGAGGAAAGGUUUUAGUUAACUUAAAACCAAGUUAAUUAAGAAACUAAAUGGCAGCUUAGUUCUUAGCAAAAAAAUCUGGUAUACAUAUACAAAAACAGAUUUAUCUCCCCCGCGUAUUCACUUUAUUGAUUUUAUCAAGGCCUUUAAACAUAUAUCCAAAAGGAGAUAUGCUGGAAGGAGGAAGUGUUUACGUUACUCUUUCUAGUAGUUAUAUAUUAGAUUUGAAGUUACUCAAUGUGUUUUAUAUUUAUAACAAAAAUAAAUAAAUAAAAAUUUUAUGAUUAUGAAGCAGGGGGGAUCGGGGCCUAGAAAAUAAAAAUAAUUAGAAAUAUUUUCUUCCAUCUAAAAAUCUAAAAGAAAAAUUUAGCCUCCCUCUCCAAUCACAGCUAGCAAUCUAGCACGGUACCUCGCUACUCCUCGGCUUCUUCCGUACUUAGUACUUAAGCUGAUUUAUAGAGGGGAAACUAAGCUGGAGGUAGGAGGAAUGAAAGAAAAUAAUUAAUUAGUAGGAAAAAUUUAUUAUAUAUAGUUUUUUCACAAAAGAAGUAUUAAAGGUAUAGCUAGGCAUUGAAUGGAGAUCAAUCGACCAGUGAAGGGUUGCGCAGAGUUCAAUGGCGGAAAGCAUGCUUAACUGAAAGACCUAUAAGUCGCACAGAUACGUAAGUAGGGCAUAGUGACCCCUCGCUAUAGUAUGGAAUAGACGGGGAUCAAUAAAUAAAAGUUACGCUAGGGAUAACAGGCUGAUCACCGACGAGAGUACACAUUGUCUCGGUGGUUUGGCACCUUUUUGUCUUAAGAUAUUAUAUAAUUUAUUAUAAUUAAAAGGAAAAAUACAAACAAACAAAAAAAAAGAAAAAGAGCGUACGCUGUGUACGCAGAAAUACUAAAAUUACCAAAAUAAAUAAAAAAGAAGGGUUUUAUCUUAGAUAUUAGAUCUCAACCUCCACUAAUCAAUGUUUCAGUAUAUAGUGUAAUAUUUAAAAAAUAUAAUAUAAUAUAAUAUAAUAUAAAUUAAAUUAAAUUAAAUUAAAUUAAAUAAAUAAAUUAGUAAUUUUAAAAAUAAAAUCUUAGUGCCUCCCUACCUGCGGUACCUGCGGUACCUGCCCUUUAGGGGGAGGGGAGGCAGCGAAGCUGCCGAUUCUUAAUUAUUUCAUUAAAGUAACAAAAAUUUGUAUUUACCCUUACGCUACUAUACCUAUCCCUCCCCUAUCCCUCCCCUAUCCCUUUAGGCUGGGAAGGGUGGGUGGUUAUCCCUUUAGGGUGCUGGGUGGGAAGGCAGGGACCCUUUUUUUAUAUAAUAAUUUAUAAUAUUAAAAAAAACAUAAAAUUAAAAAAAGACAUCGGGGAACUUAAAAAGCGAUUUUUAAGUAGAAGUUUAGCUAUAUGUUCUGGAAGCUUAUAUAACCUCAUUAAUACUAUUGUUUUAGAAUAGUGAAAAUUUAGUGAAUUUUUUUUAAGUAAUCAGCAAGAAAUAAAAAUCUCCAACGAUCAUACGCUAAAUAUCUAGAUAUUUAAUCUUUUGUACUCCAGAAGCUAGAUAAAAAUAUGAUCUAAAACUAUAUGAAAAUGUAAGUUUUUUUAUAGAAUAUUGCGAUGUCGACUCAUCCUAUCCUCCGGGGGUAGAAGCUUGGAAGGGUUCGGCUGUUCGCCGAUUAAAAGGAUACGCGAGUUGGGUUUAAUACGACGUGAGUCAGUAUGGUCCCUAUCUUCUGAAGAGAUAACUAGUAAACGGGGGCAGACCUUCUAGUACGAAAGGAUCAAUAGGCUGUGUUUCUAUAGUGUACCAAUUGUUUUUACUUUAUUACUACUUAUCUUCUAAUGAUUGUAACAAUACAAAGAUUGGAAGGAUUAAUUUUCUCUUUUAAAAAGGGGGAAUUUUUAUUUAAAAACCAAUUUUAAAUGGUGGUAAUUAGGAACGCAUAGUUGGGUAGCCACAAACAUAAUAGAUAAAUGCUGAAUGUAUAUCAAGCAAGAAUCUAACCCCUAGAUACUAAAAAACGGAACUUUUUAAUUUAUUAUUUAACUCUAAUUUUUUUUCCUUCAAAGCCCUGCGAAGUGCUCGGAGGAUCAUAAAAAGGUAGGUAAUCAAGUUACUUUAAUAAAAGUAAAAAAAAAGUAUAAAACCGUUAAUUAAGAAAUAGAACAUUUCUAGUUAGGCUGCAAAUGAACUUACUGUGAAGUAUUUAGUUUAGCAGUACUAAUUUAUAAAUAAACUUGA